rnacentral:rRNA from 1 species
GACGAACGCUGGCGGCGUGCUUAACACAUGCAAGUCGAACGGAAAGGCCCUGCUUUUGUGGGGUGCUCGAGUGGCGAACGGGUGAGUAACACGUGAGUAACCUGCCCUUGACUUUGGGAUAACUUCAGGAAACUGGGGCUAAUACCGGAUCGGAGCUCCUGCUGCAUGGUGGGGGUUGGAAAGUUUCGGCGGUUGGGGAUGGACUCGCGGCUUAUCAGCUUGUUGGUGGGGUAGUGGCUUACCAAGGCUUUGACGGGUAGCCGGCCUGAGAGGGUGACCGGCCACAUGGGGACUGAGAUACGGCCCAGACGCCUACGUUAGGCAGCAGUGAGGAAUAUGGCACAAUGGGCGGAAGCCUGAUGCAGCAACGCCGCGUUCGGGAUGACGGCCUUCUGGGUGUAAACCGCUUUCGCCUGUGACGAAGCGGGAGUGACGGUAAUGGGUAAAGAAGCACCGGCUAACUACGUG